GUGACAUCCCAUUCUUAAUCCAUAGGGUUUAAUAUGACGUCGGCCCACCCUUUGCAGCUAUAACAGCUUCAACUCUUCUGGGAAGGCUUUCCACAAGGUUUAGGAGUGUGUUUAUGGGAAUUUUUGACCAUUCUUCCAGAAGCGCAUUUGUGAGGUCAGACACUGAUGUUGGACGAGAAGGCCUGGCUCGCAGUCUUCGCUCUAAUUCAUCCCAAAGGUGCUCUAUCGGGUUGAGGUCAGGACUCUGUGCAGGCCAGUCAAGUUCUUCCACACCAAACUCGCUCAUCCAUGUCUUUAUGGACCUUGCUUUGUGCACUGGUGCGCAGUCAUGUUGGAACAGGAAGGGGCCAUCCCCAAACUGUUCCCACAAAGUUGGGAGCAUGGAAUUGGCGACCUCUGCGCACUAUGCGCCUCAGCAUCCGCUGACCCCGCUCUGUCAUUUUACGUGGCCUACCACUUCGUGGCUGAGUUGCUGUCAUUCCCAAUCACUUCCACUUUGUUAUAAUACCACUGACAGUUGACUGUGGAAUAUUUAGUAGCAAGGAAAUUUCACGACUGGACUUGUUGCACAGGUGGCAUCCUAUCACAGUACCACGCUGGAAUUCACUGAGCUCCUGAGAGCGGCCCAUUCUUUCACAAAUGUUUGUAGAAGCAGUCUGCAUGCCUAGGUGCUUCAUUUUAUACACCUGUGGCCAUGGAAGUGAUUGGAACACCUGAAUUCAAUUAUUUGGAUGGGUGAGCGAAUA